GAAAGAGUUCGACCCCCUCCAUCUCCAACGCCGAGCUACAGGGUACACGCUUUUCCUUAAUUGCCAACAUUCAAUUCCAACAAUUCCUAUUCCGUCCUGGAAUUAUCCAAUCAUUGGAUUUUGGAAUACAAAGAUCCGCCAAGAGAGAAUCCUUUUCUUGUUCUCUCCAUCCCAUUUUAAGGUGUUUGUUGAUGGUCAUCUAAGCUACUUUCUCUCCGUAACAGUCUGUUUCGAGAAUUUCAACCUGUGAAAGAUGGUUGCCUUUGGGAAAAAGUUGAAGGAACGACAAAUUCAAGAAUGGCAAGGAUAUUAUAUUAACUAUAAACUGAUGAAGAAAAAAGUGAGACAGUAUGCGCAACAAAUUGAAGUUGGAACACUAGAUCGCAGGCAUGUUCUCAAGGAUUUCUCAAGGAUGCUAGAUAAUCAGAUUGAGAAGAUUGUCCUUUUUCUCUUGGAACAACAAGGGCUACUUGCAAGUAGGAUUGCCAAGCUCAAUGAAUAUCAGGAAGCUCUUGAGCAAGAGCCAGAUAUAUCUCAAAUAACCCAAUUACGAGAGGCCUAUAGAGCGAUAGGCCAAGAUUUAUUAAAGCUUCUCUAUUUUGUUGAGAUAAAUUCUAUCGGUCUGCGUAAGAUACUGAAGAAGUUUGAUAAACGCUUUGGGUAUAGAUUCACUGAUUACUAUGUUAAAACCCGUGCGAAUCAUCCUUAUUCUCUUCUGCAGCAAGUUUUAAAGCAUGUGGGUUUAGGAGCUGUUAUUGGAGCCAUAUCUCGCAAUCUUCAUGAACUUCAGGAACAUCAGGGAAGCUACUUAUCCAUCUAUGAUGAGCCUGCUCUUCCCUUCCAGGAUCCUGUUGUUGAUUCAUUGAAAGCAGCCGUAGACAGGGUCACUCACUCAACAAACUUCCUUAACUU
rnacentral:misc_RNA from 1 species